rnacentral:lncRNA from 1 species
UAAUCCUCAGCAGGAUGCUUGGCAUAUACUGGCGAUUGCAGAAAACAUGGGCAUCUUCAUGAGACAAUAGUAAAAUACAUACAAAGGAGAAACUUAAUAUGAGCCUCUGAAAAUGCAUUGAUUACAGACAGGACCAACUUUGUGAGUGCUGCUGGAAAUUAUCACUAUGGAUCCUUUUUUCUGAGGUCCUUGCUCUGCAGUUUCCAAUAGAAAAGUCCUUGAGUCUCCAUCCAGGAGAGGUGGCUAGAAAGGACUACUUUCAUAGUUGGGCCAUCCUGCAAGCACUGUUUUCAAGAGCCUGAAAUUCAGAAAGCUGGAGCCAAGGAAGGAGCACAUUUACAGGUUCCUUGUGAGGAUAUGGAACAACAGACUGGUUCCAAAUCGGGAAAGGAGUACAUCAAGGCUGUAUAUUGUCACCCUGCUUAUUA